rnacentral:rRNA from 1 species
UACGUAGGUGGCAAGCGUUGUCCGGAUUUAUUGGGUUUAAAGGGCUCGUAGGCGGCCAACUAAGUCAGACGUGAAAUCCCUCGGCUUAACCGGGGAACUGCAUCUGAUACUGGAUGGCUUGAGUUCGGGAGAGGGAUGCGGAAUUCCAGGUGUAGCGGUGAAAUGCGUAGAUAUCUGGAGGAACACCGGUGGCGAAGGCGGCAUCCUGGACCGACACUGACGCUGAGGAGCGAAAGCCAGGGGAGCAAACGGG